rnacentral:misc_RNA from 1 species
ACCCUCUCAAGCUUUGCUUGGUGUUGGGCGUCUGUCCCGCCUCGCGCGUGGACUCGCCCCAAAGGUAUUGGCAGCGGUCGUGCCAGCUUCUCGCGCAGCAUACGCGCUACGGAGGCGAGUCGACCAGCGUCCACAAGCACUUUUUACCA